rnacentral:rRNA from 1 species
GAUGAACGCUAGCUACAGGCUUAACACAUGCAAGUCGAGGGGUAACGAGAGGAAAGCUUGCUUUCCUUGUCGACGACCGGCGCACGGGUGAGUAACGCGUAUCCAACCUGCCCCCAACUAGGGAAUAACCUUGCGAAAGUAAGACUAAUACCCUAUAAUUUCCUCAGAUGUCAUCUGACGAGGAAUAAAGAUUUAUCGGUUGUGGAUGGGAUGCGUCUGAUUAGCUUGUUGGCGGGGUAACGGCCCACCAAGGCAACGAUCAGUAGGGGUUCUGAGAGGAAGGUCCCCCACAUUGGAACUGAGACACGGUCCAAACUCCUACGGGAGGAAGCAGUGAGGAAUAUUGGUCAAUGGGCGGAAGCCUGAACCAGCCAAGUAGCGUGCAGGAUGACGGCCCUAUGGGUUGUAAACUGCUUUUAUACAGGAAUAAAGUUAGCCACGUGUGGUUAUUUGUAGGUACUGUAUGAAUAAGGACCGGCUAAUUCCGUGCCAGCAGCCGCCGUAA